GGGAGUAUAGCUCAGUGGUACAGUGUUUGACUGUAAAUCAACUAGUCCUUGGUUCAAAUCCAAGUACCCCCU